UACGUAGGGGCAAGGCGUUGUCCGGAAUCAUUGGGCGUAAAGAGCGUGUAGGCGGCCCGAUAAGUCCGCUGUGAAAGUCCAGGGCUCAACCCUGGAAAGCCGGCCGAUACUGUCGGACUAGAGUCCGGAAGAGGCGAGUGGAAUUCCCGGUGUAGCGGUGAAAUGCGCAGAUAUCGGGAAGAACACCCGUGGCUAAGGCGGCUCUCUAGUACGGUACUGACGCUGAGACGCGAAAGCGUGGGAGCGAACAGG
rnacentral:rRNA from 1 species